rnacentral:tRNA from 1 species
GUCCCUGUAGUAUAUCGCACAUUACCCUGGUCUUGUAAACCAGAAAAGGGGGAAAACGUUCCNCCCAAGGACU